rnacentral:rRNA from 1 species
GAUGAACGCUGGCGGCGUGCUUAAUACAUGCAAGUCGAGCGAAGCGCUUUAACGGAAUUCUUCGGAAGGAAGAUAAAGUGACUGAGCGGCGGACGGGUGAGUAACGCGUGGGUAACCUGCCUCAUACAGGGGGAUAACAGUUAGAAAUGGCUGCUAAUACCGCAUAAGUGCACAGGACCGCAUGGUCUGGUGUGAAAAACUCCGGUGGUAUGGGAUGGACCCGCGUUGGAUUAGGUAGUUGGUGGGGUAACGGCCUACCAAGCCGACGAUCCAUAGCCGGCCUGAGAGGGUGGACGGCCACAUUGGGACUGAGACACGGCCCAGACUCCUACGGGAGGCAGCAGUAGGGAAUAUUGCACAAUGGGGGAAACCCUGAUGCAGCGACGCCGCGUGAAGGAAGAAGUAUCUCGGUAUGUAAACUUCUAUCAGCAGGGAAGACAAUGACG